rnacentral:rRNA from 1 species
AUUGAACGCUGGCGGCAGGCCUAACACAUGCAAGUCGAACGGUAGCACAGAGAGCUUGCUCUUGGGUGACGAGUGGCGGACGGGUGAGUAAUGUCUGGGAAACUGCCCGAUGGAGGGGGAUAACUACUGGAAACGGUAGCUAAUACCGCAUAACGUCGCAAGACCAAAGUGGGGGACCUUCGGGCCUCACACCAUCGGAUGGGCCCAGAUGGGAUUAGCUAGUAGGUGGGGUAAUGGCUCACCUAGGCGACGAUCCCUAGCUGGUCUGAGAGGAUGACCAGCCACACUGGAACUGAGACACGGUCCAGACUCCUACGGGAGGCAGCAGUGGGGAAUAUUGCACAAUGGGCGCAAGCCUGAUGCAGCCAUGCCGCGUGUAUGAAGAAGGCCUUCGGGUUGUAAAGUACUUUCAGCGAGGAGGAAGGCAUUAAGGUUAAUAACCUUAGUGAUUGACGUUACUCGCAGAAGAAGCACCGGCUAACUCCGUGCCAGCCGCCGCAGUAA